rnacentral:rRNA from 1 species
UUCGUGUGAACAGUGGUUGAUCACGAGUUAGUCGGUCCUAAGUUCAAGGCGAAAGCCGAAAAUUUUCAAGUAAAUAAAUAUGAAUAUAUACUUAAAAAUUUGUUAAUUUUAUAACACUUGAAUAAUUUUGAACGAAAGGGAAUACGGUUCCAAUUCCGUAACCUGUUGAGUAUCCGUUUGUUAUUAAAUAUGGGCCUCGUGCUCAUCCUGGCAACAGGAACGACCAUAAAGAAGCCGUCGAGAGGUAUCGGAAGAGUUUUCUUUUCUGUUUUAUAGCCGUACUACCAUGGAAGUCUUUCGCAGAGAGAUAUGGUAGAUGGGCUAGAAGAGCAUGACAUAUACUGUUGUGUCGAUAUUUUCUCCUCGGACCUUGAAAAUUUAUGGUGGGGAUACGCAAACUUCUCAACAGGCCGUACCAAUAUCCGCAGCUGGUCUCCAAGGUGAAGAGUCUCUAGUCGAUAGAAUA